rnacentral:rRNA from 1 species
AGAGUUUGAUCCUGGCUCAGGAUGAACGCUAGCGGCAGGCUUAAUACAUGCAAGUCGAGGGGCAGCACGGGUAGCAAUACCUGGUGGCGACCGGCAAACGGGUGCGGAACACGUACGCAACCUUCCUUUAAGUGGGGAAUAGCCCAGGGAAACUUGGAUUAAUACCCCUUAAUAUUAUUGAGUGGCAUCACUUGAUAAUUAAAGCUCCGGCGCUUAAAGAUGGGCGUGCGCCUGAUUAGGUAGUUGGCGGGGUAACAGCCCACCAAGCCUACGAUCAGUAACUGGUGUGAGAGCACGACCAGUCACACGGGCACUGAGACACGGGCCCGACUCCUACGGGAGGCAGCAGUAAGGAAUAUUGGUCAAUGGACGCAAGUCUGAACCAGCCAUGCCGCGUGGAGGAUGACGGCCCUCUGGGUUGUAAACUCCUUUUAUCUGGGAAGAAAUGCAGAUUUUCUAAUCUGUUUGACGGUACCAGAGGAAUAAGCACCGGCUAACUCCGUGCCAGCAGCCGCGGUAAUACGGAGGGUGCAAGCGUUAUCCGGAUUCACUGGGUUUAAAGGGUGCGUAGGUGGAGUGGUAAGUCAGUGGUGAAAUCUCCAAGCUUAACUUGGAAACUGCCGUUGAUACUAUCAUUCUUGAAUAUCGUGGAGGUAAGCGGAAUAUGUCAUGUAGCGGUGAAAUGCUUAGAUAUGACAUAGAACACCGAUUGCGAAGGCAGCUUACUACACGAUCAUUGACACUGAGGCACGAAAGCGUGGGGAUCAAACAGGAUUAGAUACCCUAGUAGUCC